CGCUGCGUUAGGGGCGACGGCAACUAGGCGCAGGGGCAAGUUAUGGUGGGAACUUCUGUCCGUGCUGUGUGAUUGCGACGAGGGCGACCGCCGCCAGCAGCAGCGUGUCGCCGAUUUCGUCUUUGCCGACAUCGAGCAAGUGCAGCUCGCCGGGGUAGUUCUGAACUUAGUGUCACACAUUACUUCCCCCCUUUUCUUUGGCUUCUGGAUUGGAUUGGCGCGGCUCGCUACGUGCUUGCGCGCGCUUUUCCGAGCGCAGAUUGGUGUGCGCCUGGUUGCUGCACUAGGCUGUUAUGCGAUCGCUUUUUCGAGCGCAGAUUGAUGUGAGCCUGGUUUGUGCACUAGGCUUUUGCACGAUCGCCUGCUUUUUGCACUGGGCUUUCAAAAGGCGAAGUGAGCGUCGCUUACCAUAGAAUAAAGAACAACUUCCGCGCUUACUGCGGAAGUGCAGCGCCGCGGGCCUACCGUGUAUGGAAGCGCGCAGCAAUGCCGGGAAACAUUCAUACAAAAGCAAAGGGUCAGAAAAGUGCGCUUUAUUUUCCAUUACUAUGUCACAGUGGGUAGCGCCGUGCGAUCGCUUCAAAUAAACGCAGAAACGAGUCCUUGCAGCGCAUGUGCCCAUUAAUCGAUGCCCACCAUAGCCAUAUCAGGUGCGACUCGAGAAGCUGUGGAGUCACCCUGUAGCCGGCGGAGUCGAGGUAGCGCUUCACCUUCUGCCAGUAGCUUUCGAUUUUCUGGGUGUGAGCGCCCGUGAUUGGGUCUACAAAGUUCAUGCUGUGGUUAACAGCCUCCCAUUGCAAAUUCAGUCUUGCUCCGUUAGCCCCCACCAAGUUCGGGAUGCAGUUGUAUGGGGCCCAUUCAUCACUGUGGAUGGUGGUUCCCGGUUCAACGUUGGCUGCAAUAAUGGGGCCUAGCGUCGCCGCGUCUCGUCGGUCGACCUUGAAUAGUCGGAGCUCCCCGGUGGUCACGCAGAUCAUGCCGAAUACCCAUGGUCCACGAUCUGCAAUGCCGCCGUAAUUUUGGCGGCUCGGCGGAACGUUGUCGCCCGUCAUCAGGCGGCCUCGAUUGUAUUUUCGCUUGCCGCGAAGGAGGCAUUCAUCAAUUUGCACAAUCCUCCCGGGGCCACCGAGUGGGGGUCGCGCCAGCAGCUCGUCCCGCACGACCUCACGAGCGUAGUUCCUCCAGUCGGCGAUGACAUGGUCCGACAGAUUAAGCAAGUCGCCGGUCAUCUCCUUCAUGAGCCACGUGCCUAUGUUUUUGCUCACGCAGUACAUGAGCCAAAUCACUUGCCGCCUGCAGUAAGCGACGCUCACUUCGCCUUCUGAAAGCCCAGUGCAAAAAGCAGGCGAUCGUGCAAAAGCCUAGUGCAGAAACCAGGCUCACAUCAAUCUGCGCUCGAAAAAGCGAUCGCAUAACAGCCUAGUGCAGAAACCAGGCGCACACCAAUCUGCGCUCGGAAAAGCGCGCGCAAGCACGUAGCGAGCCGCGCCAAUCCAAUCCAGAAGCCAAAGAAAAGGGGGGAAGUAAUGUGUGACACUAAGUUCAGAACUACCGCUCGCCGGACCGUCACAAGCACCCGAAGUGCUGUGGUUUGCACUGCGUCUUUCAUUGUGAUAUGGGAGAUCGCAACGCACAGAGAGGACCAGAUGCAUACGAACGACUACCAGCGGGGGGUGACCUGUGCCAUAUUUCUCUUAACGUCUCAGGUACACUCUGGCGGCGCCUACCCCUGCGUCCUACUACCACCCUGUCCUGACUACAUCCACUAGGGAGUUCGGAGCCAUUGGCGGCUUCUGCCACUGCACCCUGCCACCACCAUGUCCCGACCACGUCCACUAGGGAGUUGGCAGCCUUAGUGAUGAUGCUAAGCAGGCUGACAGCAGACAGAAAUAUUCAGGUUGCCUUGUAAUUUUACCCUAGCCAUGCCACAUACUCGAGCUAGGCCUCUUGCGAACUACGUAUAACCAGGCUCAACGCAUCAGUGUCGAGUGAGUCCGCAGAUCAAGGAAACCUGCUGUGCAACCAGCUCGCAACACUUGGUGACCCCUCUACGUGUUCCAUCUAUUUCACAGUUGUACUUCAUCUUCCAUCUAUCCAAACAGCAUCACCAGCUGUUUCUUAUCUUAUCGAUCACUUAUCGAACCAUGGAUGAAUGUUGGGGUGGAGCGAUUUGUACAGACAUUCUAUUUGUCUCUUCAAAUUCUUUGCAAAUAUUUCUAUUAUUAUAAUUCAUAUGUUUCUUUAGUACCUAGUUUUUAAUAGUUCCUUUCUCAUAGAGUUCUCACCAUCAACUCCUGCUAUUAUUAUGUGUACCCGUCUUUAUGCCCCGUUUCUCAUAGUUCUUUUGUACUUGCGGAUGUAAUUGAUAGGUUCUUAAUUCUUGUUGUACAGAAGGCUAAAAUGAAAACUUACGGUAUUUUUUUUUUCCUUUGAUAACCUAGAGCACUGCAAUGUGUUCAAGAAAUUUAACAUAACACGGGCUCUAGUGCAGGAUAAAUUUAAGAGCAAUAUAGAGUACUUAUUUCAAGCACCCGUUAUUUUUGAAAAACUCAAGGAUAUAAGAGCACAAGAAAGAAAAUAUUAAACUAGAGAAACAUGGGUUCCCCUCAUAAGUCUGGUAAUAAUGUGAUUUCCUUUCACUGCAAAGGUACUGGUACUCGCAUACAAGGUUUGAGACAUGAAAGCGAUGAUACCCUUGGCAUUUCUCAGUCCUUAUUUGCCACACUGACGAAUGUCAAAGGCAGCAUAGGUUUCAUGCACACAUUGGUUGUAUUACACCUUUUGAGUAUUGCAUUUCUCAAACACACCGGUUUGCCACAGUGCUUUAAAUAGCAGAUGUAUUUCCUAAUUUUCAGAAUUUCUUAGUGCAAGAGUAACGCUACAGAUCAUGGAUAAAUAAUUUUACAGAUGUCCAUGGAUGUAUGCUUCUGAUGAUGUGCCAUGUGGUCAGGGGAUGAAUGUCUUUAUUUCGGAUUUAAACAUUGGCUUCCAGGUCUGGGUAAGUCUCCUACACUGAGUAUUCUAGGUCAGAGCCCAUUUACUAGAGGAAAGUAAAUUAAACUAGUAAUUGUAAACACCAAAAGAUCUUGUUCGGGACAAUAAUGUGGCAAUCAGCAAGGUUCUUUGUGCAUUCAUUUCCAAAUUUGUGAGAUUAUAUUGUGACUGGUUUCACUAACGCGAGCAUAAAUAUUUGUUUGUUCUCACACUAGAGUUGGCUGCCCCCAUUGCCACACAACCCCUUUACAGGCUAAAAAUUUAUUGUAAUAAUAGGCUGUUUUUUGGUUUUGCGCGCUCAUUGUUAAGGGA